rnacentral:rRNA from 1 species
UACGGAAGGCAGCAGUGGGGAAUAUUGGACAAUGGGCGAAAGCCUGAUCCAGCCAUGCCGCAUGAGUGAAGAAGGCCUUCGGGUUGUAAAGCUCUUUUAGUGAGAAAGAUAAUGACGGUAUUCACAGAAGAAGUCCUGGCUAACUCCGUGCCAGCAGCCGCGGUAAUACGGAGAGGGCUAGCGUUAUUCGGAAUUAUUGGGCGUAAAGAGCGCGUAGGCUGAUUAGUAAGUUAAAAGUGAAAUCCCAAAGCUUAACUUUGGAAUUGCUUUUUAAAACUGCUAGUCUAGAGAUUGAAAGAGGAUAGAGGAAUUCCUAGUGUAGAGGUGAAAUUCGUAAAUAUUAGGAGGAACACCAGUGGCGAAGGCGUCUAUCUGGUUCAAAUCUGACGCUGAGGCGCGAAGGGCGUGGGGAGCAAACAGGGAUUAAUACC